rnacentral:tRNA from 1 species
GGGGAAUUAGCUCAGCUGGGAGAGCGCCACGUUUGCACCGUGGAGGUCAGGGGUUCGAUCCCCCUAUUCUCCACCA